rnacentral:lncRNA from 1 species
GUCGCGCAGUGCGGGGAUCCCCGCUUCAGUCGGCAGAGAGAGAGCUCGCGGGUGGUUCCGGUCCGGCUUUUCAGGCCGGACGGGUGCCUGCCCCUCAGGUGCGAGUUUGUGCGGUAAAGAACACACCCCGGAGAUGUGGACACGGCCGCCCCAGGAGGGUCCUUGUUUGGAGGUGGAAAUCAACGAGAACUUGCCCGCCAGAAAAACAUGAAGAAAACCCAGGAAAUUAGCAAGGGAAAGAGGAAAGAGGAUAGCUUGACUGCCUCUCAGAGAAAGCAGAGGGACUCUGAGAUCAUGCAAGAAAAGCAGAAGGCAGCUAAUGAGAAGAAGUCUAUGCAGACAAGAGAAAAGUGAUGACUGGCUAUUUGGAAAACCUGGGUGCUACUGCCAACUGGGUGUAUCAUAAGCUCUAAGAUCAAGAUUUUGUAGAGUGGACAGUCAUUACAUAUGUUAUAACUUAUCCUUUAAAAACUAUUUUAAACUUUAUCCUUUCAGCUUUACUUAGUGCGAUGUUUUAGAAGCAGUCUUCAAAGAAUAAAACACUAACCAUGCAUGUGACAUAUUGGUGAACAUUAUUUUUAUUAUUGAACAUUCAUAUAUAAUUUAUUAGGUAAUAUGAUCAGAUAAUAGGAUCUCUUAUAUAAUAAAGAAUCUUUGUCAUCA